UACAGGGGGUGCAAACGUUGCUCGGAAUCAUUGGGCGUAAAGCGCACGUAGGCGGUUCGUUAUGUCGGAUGUGAAAGCCCUUGGCUUAACCGAGGAAGUGCAUCCGAAACUGGCGAGCUAGAGUACGAAAGAGGAUCGCGGAAUUCCCGGUGUAGAGGUGAAAUUCGUAGAUAUCGGGAGGAACACCGGUGGCGAAGGCGGCAUCCUGGACCGAUAUUGACGCUGAGGAGCGAAAGCCAGGGGAGCAAACGGG
rnacentral:rRNA from 1 species